CGACAGCUCACAAAGAGAGUGAGGCAUAUUUUGUUGGGGAAAAAAUAUCUGAGAUUUCUCUGCCAAAAAGGAAUCUGUCUCUGGAAUGUAUGGAAUGUGGAAAAGCUGCUGUUCUGGACAGAAUGAAGACCAGCCAAGGGAGGCAGAACCUCGGCAUUGCUGCAGCAGGCCUGGUGCAGUAUUCCUGGCUUGCUUUACAUGCACUCAGGUCAGUUGUGUUUUUGCUUUGGCUUUUGUCACGUUUGCUAAGAGGAUUCGGUUAGGUUAGCUGCUCUGUGGUGCUCGCUCACCUGCUUUCUGUGUCUUUUUGCUGUAUCUGUCGGUGAAGUGAUUGACUGUUCCUGCUCUCUAGUGGGGCUUCUCUUUCUCUGUAAUGUCUGCCUGUCUGGGGGGAGGGUGAAAACACUGGUGCUGUUCGCAGCCUUGCUUUGUAACUUUUAUCCUGCUAAUAAACACCUUUGUAGCAA
rnacentral:lncRNA from 1 species